rnacentral:tRNA from 1 species
UGUUGGAUGGUGCAAUGGGAGCAUGCCAGAUUCUGAUUCUGGUGACGUUGGUUCGAAUCCAACUCCAAUAUCAA